CCGUCAAGUGCUUCUACAACGUCGUGAAACCUCAUUGUCGAUGGUGUCACAUCCAUUUCGAGCAUCUCAAUUCUAGGAGUUGUUUCACUUUCUUUGGAACAAUCUGAACUCUCGCAAUCGCAACCUCCGAUCGAAUCUCGUAACCCUAGCUUUUUCAACUCAAGAGCUACAAGUGUUGCAAUGGAUGCUGGAAACUUGUUGAAGCCAAUGCUUUGAAGGGGGGAACAUUGAUGUAUAGGAGCAACUACGUUGAAUGAAUAUAGAAAAUAUAUUGAGAAGGAUCCUGCACUUGAGCGUAGAUUUCAACAAGUAUUUUGCUGUCAACCAUCUGUUGAAGAUACAAUAUCCAUUCUUCGAGGGUUGCGCGAGCGCUAUGAAUUGCAUCAUGGAGUCAAAAUAUCUGACAGUGCACUUGUAUCAGCUGCAGUCCUUGCAGAUCGAUACAUCACAGAACGCUUCCUACCAGACAAAGCUAUUGAUCUUGUCGAUGAAGCUGCUGCAAAACUGAAGAUGGAGAUCACCUCUAAGCCUACAGAGUUGGAUGAGAUAGAUAGAGCAGUCUUGAAACUGGAGAUGGAAAAACUCUCUUUGAAAAAUGACACUGACAAGGCUUCUAAAGAAAGAUUAAGUAAGCUUGAAAAUGAUUUGAGUUUACUGAAACAGAAGCAGAAAGAAUUGGCAGAACAAUUGGACAGUGAAAAAGUCUUAAUACUGCUCCUUUUCAUUCUGUCAAGGCUGUGAUACUUGGCAUGGCUUGCGAAUUUUAAUAUGUAUUUCUCUUUAGUUUUCUAUCUCUAAUUUGUAUUUGAAUUUGGUAUUGGUUUAUUUUAGGAUCCUUAUCAUGGGCCUGGUCAAGCAAUGAGGCUUUCAUUCUCUGUACCCGAGGGAAUCAAAGUUCCAUCUAGUUUGGUAAAUAUAUUUAAGGAGCUUAAGCUAGACCUUGGAUGUUCAAUUCCAUCUCAGGGUAAUCUUGAAAAAUGGGCUGUGCAGGUAACUAUUCCUUACUAACUUAAUCCAGCAAUCAUGAUAUGUUUUUUUACCAAUAUCAACUUAGGCUUGAGUGAUAAAUACUUAUUGAACUGGGUUACUCAUCAUGAACCUAAAAUAGAGGCCUUCAGUGAUUGCAAAUAACUUAAAUUCACUGCUUAAGUGUCAGUUAAU